rnacentral:snoRNA from 1 species
CACCUCUCAGAGUUGCAUCUGGAGAGUUUCCAGGACUCUACCUGUCUCAACUGUGGGAGGGAGAGUCAAGCAGAGGCAUAGCCAUUCCAUUCCUAGCUUGGGCAGCGGCUAGCGAGUGGAAGGCAACCCGCUGCAUGU